GUACAGUACAUCAACGUAGUUUGCCAUCGAUUGGCUGAAAAGUCCCAUGUGAUUUCUCAUUAACCAAUCAGAAUUUGGGGAAGUUAGCGUGUCAGUUUGUUGUCGAUAAAUUAAUUUUCAUACUGAUAGAAUUUGUAGUUUUAUGUAGAGUCUGAUUGCAUCGCUUUUAUGGAUGUGGUAUGCUUUAGAAUACUACAAUAUGCGCCAUUUGCAAAAGGGAAAUUGAACAGUGUUUGCAUGAAGUCACCGGCAGUUUCAUGCUGUCAUAUCUUUCUUUAUAUUUCUUGAUUUUUCAGUCCUUUAACGAGUCAAAUAUAGCUACGUAUUUCAACACAAAAGCAUUUGAAUACAGGCGGCCAAAUCGAACUGUUCGUGAGUGACGAAAUCCGCACUGUGUGGAGGUUUUAGCAGCGCUAGAACGGGGUCAACUGUGAAGUUUAACAUGUCAACCACGAAGUUUCAGCAGCUGUCCGGGUGGCUGGUCUCAGAUGAUCCCGCAGGUGAAGAAGCUGGAUGUGGAGGUCCUGGGCUUGCGUGGAUACAUGUGGACUGCGGUUGUGAGGCCAAUUGGACGUACUGACACAUUCUCUAAAAUGACGUUGGAGUCAGCUUAUGGUAGAGAAAUGUGACUGGUUUCAGGUAACUUGGUGUAUGUCUCGGGUCACUACUUCACAGGAGAGCCAUUUGAACGUAAACUAAACUUUCAUGUGCCUUAAUAACAAACUUGUAUCUGUAAAUAUGAAUAAAAUGGUUAAAUUACGAGCUUAGUUGGUUUAGCUACAGAAAAAGUGAGCAACCUUCCUGCUAGCCAUGAUUGGCUGAUAUAAUGAGUGGGCUGGACAUGCGAGAGAUGAGUUUGGAUUGGUCUGCCAUAUAGCACAUAUGUCUAUUUGAGCUGGUCAGUGUAGGUAAUCCUGUCUAUCGCUGCUUUAAAAAAUAUAUAUAUUGCGUAGUAGAACUGAAUAAGUGCUGCUCUCCACUUUCUGGAGGACCCGAGUAUUGAAAUCAGUGGAAUUAGAGUAUGAUAGCUAAGGAGAUGGAUAAAACACUUGUCUCCGGAUUACGUCUUCAAACUAAGGGCAACCAUGGCAUCCAUGACAGGGAGAAGCGUCCAUCCAGGAUGUAUACGUGUAAAAUAGUCUAGCUAGCUACAUUUUUGGAUAUUACAUGUUUCUAAUUUUGACAAAUUUGUUUUCAUUUCCAGUUAGUGUACUGUUAGCUAGCUAACAUUAGCUGGCUGGCUCACUAGCUAACGUUACGUGUAUGAUCUUAUUUUUCGUAUCUCAGCCAUUUGCUUUGCUAGUUAUAGCCUAAUGUUAGCUAGCUAACAUUGAACUCGGUUGGUUAGCUAGCUGCAGAUUAAUGCAGGGUAGUAACGUCAUGAGUUGGGAUUAUGGUUCAUCGUUUACCUAGCUACAUGUCUUAACAAAAGACUCCAUCCACUAUGCAAGUAACCAUUUCAAUAGAAUGCCACUGUGACAGUUGUUGAUAGUAAAUUCACUCUGCCUAUCUACUCUGAUUUCAGAGAACUCUUGUCUGAGUGUGCCAGAGCGCAGAAUAACUGACGAAUUUACAAACGCUCAACACCCAUUGAAUAUGGCCGGUGUCAGUAAAUAUUGGCAAAAAAACGUCAAUUGUUGCCAGCAGCACAGUUGCAGUCACCAACGCUCUGGAUAACAUCAAAACAGCCUAACUAGUUUUGCUAGCGCGAGUAAAAUAGUCAGUGAGCUGUUCACUCAUUUGUGUCUGGAAGUAGCUAGCAAGCUAGCCAACGUUAGCCAGUUAGCUUGGGUGCUUGACUGUUGUUGUUAGGACAGAACGCUCAGAUCAACCCUUAAAGAGAUGGUGGGGCUAAAGCUUAAGAGGGUGGGAACGAUGCUGAAUGGGUUUAGACAAAGAAGAGCUCUCAAGUAGGUACCAAAACAUUCAAAGGCCAUUUUCUCAAAAGUGAGUUUACACGUUUAUCAACUUUCAAAGCAGAAUUCCUUUCCCAUUGUUCCUCAGAUGCAGUGUAUGAUGUACCAUUUUGUUACUCUAUGUAUUUGCUUUUCUCCAAUGUAAAAAACACUAUUUCAAAUGUUUUUACAUAAUACCAAAUCAAGGCAGUCGGUCACAAAUGAACAUUCAAUUCUCUGGUAACAGCUCUGGUGGACAUUUCUGCAAUCGGCAUGCAGAAACGGUCCCUCAAAAUUUGAGACAUCUGUGGCAUUGUGGAAUGUUUUAGAGUGGCCUUUUAUUGUCUCCAGCACAAAGUGCACCUAUGUAAUGACCAUGCUGUUUUAUCAGCUUCUUGAUAUGCCACACAUGUCAGGUGGAUGGAUUAUCUUGGCAAAGGAGAAAUGAUCACUAACAGAGAUGUAAACAAAUUUGUGCACGAAAUCAGCAUUUUGUGCAUAUGGAAAAUAUCUUAAACAUGGGACCAACACAUUACAUGUUGCAUUUAUAUUUUUGUUCAGUAUAGGUUAUAUCAUCAUAAUCAAGUACUGGAAGAACAAUCUUCCUUCUACUUUCCAAAGUGAGGCAGAAUUUAUUUCUAUAAAAGAAACCAUUCUUAAUUCUCAAUUUUUUUUCCUGUGUCCGUUUUUCAAUGUGUGUUUUAAAAGAGAGCUUAUCGUCAAUCCAAAUACCCAAGUACUUAUAAUGGAUGAACCUGCUCAAUUUGGGCUCCCUUUAAAAGAAAUCAGAUUUGACCAUUCAGACACAAGUCGCAUGGACAGCAAUCAGAUUUGAUUAUUAUUUCAAACCACCUACUUAGGUGUGUUGAAAUGUGGCUUAAAAUAUCCAAUUCCAUGUGCUUUUUGGCUGUUCAGACUACAGGACAAAGAACAGAUUUGAAUCUGAUGUGCGGAAAAAAAUGGAUUCGAGUCACUUCAAACUGCCAAUGUGAACAAGGCUUACCGGUACUGUUGUAAAGAGCCAUUCAUUCAUUUCGUGCAGCCUGCCUGUCAGAUCUGACAGAUGUUAGCUAGCUAACUAGAUCAACAAUGUAAGGCCCUAUUUCAUGAGUGUGGAAUAUCAAGAUUGCUCUCUCUAAUUCUCUCCUUCUCUCUUUCUUUCUCUCUCUCGGAGGACCUGAGCCCUAGGACCAUACGUCAGGACUACUGGGCAUGAUGACUCCUUGCUGUCCCCAGUCCACCUGGCCUUGCUGCUGUUCCAGUUCAACUGUUCUGCCUGCAGUUAUGGAACCCCUACCUGUCCCAGACCUGCUGUUUUCAACUCUUAAUGAUCGGCUAUGAAAAGCCAACUGACAUUUAUUCCUGAUUAUUAUUUGACCAUGCUUGUCAUUUAUGAACAUUUUGAACAUCAUGGCUCUCUCUAAUUCUCUCCUCUCUUUCUUUCUCUCUCGGAGGAACUGAGCCCUAGGACCAUACGUCAGGACUACCGGGCAUGAUGACUCCUUGCUGUCCCCAGUCCACCUGGCCUUGCUGCUGUCCCAGUUUCAACUGUUCUGCCUGCGGUUAUGGAACCCCUACCUGUCCCAGACCUGCUGUUUUCAACUCUUAAUUAUCGGCUAUGAAAAGCCAACUGACAUUUAUUCCUGAUUAUUAUUUGACCAUGCUUGUCAUUUAUGAACAUUUUGAACAUCUUGGCCAUGUUCUGUUAUAAUCUCCACCCGGCACAGCCAGAAGAGGACUGGCCACCCCUCAGCCUGGUUCCUCUCUAGGUUUUGGCCUUUCUAUGGAGUUUUUCCUAGCCACCGUGCUUCUACACCUGCAUUGCUUGCUGUUUGGGGUUUUAGGCUGGGUUUCUGUACAGCACUUUGAGAUAUUAGCUGAUGUACGAAGGGCUAUAUAAAAUAAACUUGAUUGAUUGAACCAA